CAUGCGGAUUUCGCCAGGCACCGAUCUCCAAUGCUCCCAAUGAUUUCGUCGAGUGGCCAUGGUUCGGAGGCGUCUCUCUAAAUCCUUGGGUGGUGUUGCAUUUCGAGUUGGAAUCGGCUGGAAGAAUUAAGAAGGAGGUAUUCGUUUUUGGUAGGGCUAUCGAUAAAGUAGGAGGGUGGCAACUCCUACUGGAGUGGCGCCCCCUUCUGCUGAUGUCUUGGCUAUCUAGCUAUUUAAACUAGCCCGGUUCGCUCUGGGUAUGGCUAGGAUGGCCUUGAUAUGUCCAAUGACCCAAUUUCGAGAGAGGGGAAGGGAAUAUGGCGAGAUAUAGGCAUGAUAGGCAAAUUUCUAUAUAGUCGCAGCCAUAUUGUCCCAGCAGACAGAACAUAAAAAUGUUAAAAUAGUGUUUGUGCCGAAAUAUAUAAAAAGGCAACCGGGGUCCCAAUACAAAGGGCCCCGGGAUAUUUAAAUUGGAGGAAUUUAAAUUGGAAGUUCAAAUUAGAAGACUUAAUUGGA